UAGGAAAAUGAGAACCUGCGCCUAUCCGUUUAAACCGAUUGUAGAAUUUAUGGAAAGAUAUGGCGAUCUGAGUAUGCCCACUGAAGGGCCCCAAGAAAGAGCCAACAAUAGUCAACGGUGGGUGGAACUAACGGACACGCGAACGUGAAAUGCUGAUGCCACCGGCGACAUGAAAACUACUGAGAAAUUGAGAAAAGUGUGUAUAAAUACCUACUACUAUAUUCAUUUUGAUUGCUUUUAUCUUAUUUCGUCAUUAUUAUUUGUAAUGUUUAUUUGUUAAGGUGUGGAGUGACUUUAAACAGCAAGAAGAAGGCAACUCGCAUACACAGAGCUGCCAAGGGAACACUGGACUGGUGGCGGUUCAGGUUCUUCCCUGAAGCCAAAGGAUUUAGAGCAGUGUGCUUGUAAAUAACUACUUGUAAAUUAAAUCCAUAAUAAAGACCUAGGGUAACUGGAUAGAUAUACCUACCUUAUUAUUGUAAAACUUAAGAUAUUAUAAUUAAUUAAAUACA